UUAACUAUUUUAUAAUACUCAGACGACAUUAGAUUAAGAGUUUAGGUCCCCUCUGGCAGACACUAGCCAGCCUAAGCCGGUAGACUAUUUGUCUGGCCUGCCAAAGCAACAAAGGAAUGUUAACAAAGGGUGGGAGAUCUACCCUGAAGGGCAGGUUCUCUGUAAUGAUCCUUCCGCAGGUUCACCUACGGAAA
rnacentral:misc_RNA from 1 species